rnacentral:rRNA from 1 species
AUGGCGACCCCGAGGACGAUGAGAGCCGUGCAGUACGACAAGUAUGGCGGAGGAGCAGAAGGCCUCAAGCAUGUGGAGGUGCCGGUGCCGUCGCCGAAGAAGGGGGAGGUGCUGCUGAAGAUGGAGGCGGCCAGCAUCAACCCCAUCGACUGGAAGAUCCAGAAGGGCAUGCUCCGCCCCUUCCUCCCCGGCAAGUUCCCCUUCACGCCAGUGGGCGAUCUGGCCGGCGAGGUGGUGGAGCUGGGCAGCGGCGUGACCAACUUCAAGCCGGGAGACAAGGUCAUCUCCAUCAGCUUCCCGAGCGGCGGCGGGCUCGCGGAGUACGCGGUGGCGCCGGCGUCGCUCACGGUGGCGAGGCCGACGGAGUUGUCCGCCGUCGAAGGUGCCUGCCUGCCGGCCGCCGGAGGCUCCGCGCUGCAGCUGCUCAAGCUCGCCGGGGUCAGCUUCGACGGGACCUCCGGCGCGACCGGCCCGAAGAACGCGCUGGUGACCGCGGCCUCGGGCGGCGUGGGCCACUACGCCGUGCAGCUCGCGAAGCUCGCCGGCCUGCACGUCACGGCCACCUGCGGCGCGCGCAACGUGGACUUCGUCCGGGGACUGGGCGCCGACGAGGUGCUCGACUACAGGACGCCCGAGGGCGCGGCCCUGCGGAGCCCGUCGGGCAGGAGGUACGACGCGGUGGCGAACUGCGCGGCGGGGGUGCCGUGGCCGGCGCUCAAGGCGGUGCUGGCCGACGAGGGCGGCACGGUGGCGGACGUCACGCCGGGGGUCGGCGCCGCGCUCACGUCCAUCCUGCAGAAGGCGACCUUCGCCAAGAAGAGGCUGGCGCCGCUGAUGCUGGCGCCGAGGAGGGAGGAGAUGGAGUGGCUGGUGGGCUUGGCGAGGCAGGGGAAGCUCAGAACGACGGUGGACUCGAGGUUCCCGCUGAGCAGAGCACAGGAGGCCUGGGCUAAGAGCAUGGAGGGGCAUGCCACCGGCAAGAUCGUUGUGGAAAUGGGAGGCGCAGAAUGA